rnacentral:lncRNA from 1 species
UUAUAACUAAUGAAAGAUAGAAGGCAAGGAAGUUCCUGUGGGGGCUACGCCUAAAAAUUUUGGAUUCUCUUGCAGUUUUAGAACUGAAUACUUAUGAUGAAGUCUUGGUAAAAGUAGAGAUAGUGGAAAGCAGACUUAGGGGUUCAUCCUUAGGAGCAGACAGUUCUAGAGCCUUUGUACCUCCGAGAAGGUUAACUCUAGUGUUUGGUUCACAAGAUAAAAGGUGUAGAAUGGUAAUAGAAAUAUCUUCUAGAUCACCAUCAGUUACCGGUAAAGCACCUACCUGCCGAACUUAUGGAAAAGAAUAAUGGUAAUCAGCCAUGCCAUCAUGUCACUCGAUCUUCUUUCAAGUGUGGUAGCCAAUAACAUCUGAUUCGCAACUGAUAUCCACACCAGGCGCGAAUGUAUUACUUUCU